rnacentral:rRNA from 1 species
UACGUAGGGGGCGAGCGUUGUCCGGAUUUAUUGGGCGUAAAGAGCGUGUAGGCGGCCAGAUAGGUCUGCUGUGAAAACUCGAGGCUCAACCUCGAGCUGUCGGCGGAAACCAUUUGGCUAGAGUCCGGAAGAGGAAAGUGGAAUUCCUGGUGUAGCGGUGAAAUGCGCAGAUAUCGGGAAGAACACCCGUGGCGAAGGCGGCUCUCUGGGACGGUACUGACGCUGAGACGCGAAGCGUGGGGAGCGAACAGG